rnacentral:rRNA from 1 species
CACGGAGGGUGCAAGCGUUAUCCGGAUUCACUGGGUUUAAAGGGUGCGUAGGUGGGCUGGUAAGUCAGUGGUGAAAUCUCCAGGCUUAACUUGGAAACUGCCAUUGAUACUAUUAGUCUUGAAUACCGUGGAGGUCAGCGGAAUAUGUCAUGUAGCGGUGAAAUGCUUAGAUAUGACAUAGAACACCAAUUGCGAAGGCAGCUGGCUACACGAAUAUUGACACUGAUGCACGAAAGCGUGGGGAUCAAACAGGA